UUAUUGCGUGUACUUAUCUACUGCCUGGGAUAAGAGACACCAUUAUAAAGAGAAAUGAGAUGGGGGAGGACACGUGAAAGAUUUCCCCUUCUGUUCCUCUGUGAAAUGCCUGCGGAAAUCUUUAACCAGUUUACAUUUUAAACUCUGAGCCACUCAUACACCCCAGCCAGAUGUAUGGAGGUGGAGUCCUGUCCUGUAGGGGAAAUUCAACUUCAGGAGUUGGAUACACAGCAGCCAGACCAGCCUGCGCAAACCAGUGCAAGAGGAGGGUAAUGAAGACGGAGAAGCCCUAGCCCCGAGGAGAAUCUCCAUUUGCCAAGACUGGGGCCAAGGUGAAGAACAGCUGAUUGGAAGAGCGACUGACAGCAUUUCAGGGGCUGGUGGCUAGACAUGCAUAGCAUUACUGGAGCUGAAAAGGUACAACUUAUCUUCUGUAGUAGGUAGACCACUCUCCAGGAAGACUGGGAGUAAAUGAAGCUCCGGGUUCAACUUCAAAGAAUUCAAAAUCCAGGCACGAGCUCUCCACAAGGAGAAUUACCCAGGAUGCUUUUGAGUUGGGUUCCAGGUCACUCCUUGGCUCCUCUCCAAGAGUUUUGUGCGACCCUCCUCAGGAACGGGUCAGUCAACAAAUACUUCACAGAAUUUGGGGGAAGCCUCUUCUCUCUGCC